UACGGGGGGGGCAAGCGUUGUUCGGAAUUACUGGGCGUAAAGGGCGCGUAGGCGGUUUGCUAAGUUGAAUGUGAAAACUCUGGGCUUAACCCAGAGCCUGCAUUCAAUACUGGCAGGCUAGAGUUCUGGAGGGGAUAGCGGAAUUCCUGGUGUAGCGGUGAAAUGCGUAGAUAUCAGGAGGAACACCGGUGGCGAAGGCGGCUAUCUGGACAGUUCCUGACGCUGAGGCACGAAGGUCAGGGGAGCAAACGGG
rnacentral:rRNA from 1 species